rnacentral:rRNA from 1 species
AUUGAACGCUGGCGGCAUGCCUAACACAUGCAAGUCGAACGCCCCGCAAGGGGAGUGGCAGACGGGUGAGUAACGCGUGGGAAUCUACCCAGAACUUCGGAACAACUGAGGGAAACUUCAGCUAAUACCGGAUACGCCCUACGGGGGAAAGAUUUAUCGGUUUUGGAUGAGCCCGCGUUGGAUUAGCUAGUUGGUGAGGUAAUGGCUCACCAAGGCGACGAUCCAUAGCUGGUCUGAGAGGAUGAUCAGCCACAUUGGGACUGAGACACGGCCCAGACUCCUACGGGAGGCAGCAGUGGGGAAUAUUGGACAAUGGGCGAAAGCCUGAUCCAGCCAUGCCGCGUGAGUGAUGAAGGCCUUAGGGUUGUAAAGCUCUUUCAGUGGGGAAGAUAAUGACGGUACCCACAGAAGAAGCCCCGGCUAACUUCGUGCCAGCAGCCGCCGUAA